rnacentral:lncRNA from 1 species
AGCAUCACUGAUCAGUUCAGCGAGGAGAAGCGAAAUGGAUCAGGGGGCCGGAAGACGGUCAUCAGCUCUAGUCUAGUGAUGAUACAUGUCACCAUGAGUAAUUUUACCGUUUUAUCAUUAUUAUUGAAGAGGUAUCAAUAAGGUACCAAUUUUCUAUGUGAUAAAAGAUACCAAAUUUUAUAUAGUACCUUCUUAAGGAUAGGAAAAAUGUUCUGUCACCAUUGUCUGUACCAAUUCCUAGAGCUGUUAAUUAAUUUCCUUCGUGCAUACAUGUAUAUAUUAUUACUUGUAGCGUACACCGCUGUACAUGUAUCAUGUAUGCAUAGUUAUAGUUAUAUAGAUGCCGGCCACCAUCGCAUAGUUGCAGGGACAUGGAGAUGAGGAGCCGCGAGUGUAUCACUGUUCAUUGGCAAUAAAAUUAACAGGAU